AGAGUUUGAUCAUGGCUCAGAUUGAACGCUAGCGGGAUGCCUUACACAUGCAAGUCGAACGGCAGCGCGGACUUCGGUCUGGCGGCGAGUGGCGAACGGGUGAGUAAUGUAUCGGAACGUGCCCAGUAGCGGGGGACAACCACUCGAAAGAGUGGCUAAUACCGCAUACGCCCUACGGGGAAAGGGGGGAUCGCAAGACCUCUCACUAUUGGAGCGGCCGAUAUCGGAUUAGCUAGUUGGUGGGGUAAAGGCCUACCAAGGCGACGAUCCGUAGCUGGUUUGAGAGGACGACCAGCCACACUGGGACUGAGACACGGCCCAGACUCCUACGGGAGGCAGCAGUGGGGAAUUUUGGACAAUGGGGGAAACCCUGAUCCAGCCAUUCCGCGUGUGCGAUGAAGGCCUUCGGGUUGUAAAGCACUUUUGGCAGGAAAGAAAUCGUGUGGGUUAAUACCCUGCGCGGAUGACGGUACCUGCAGAAUAAGCACCGGCUAACUACGUG
rnacentral:rRNA from 1 species